AUGGAUACUACAGCAAGCAACGCCGCGCUGGUGCCCCGCAACAUAGUGAAUGAUGCUGCUGCCCCGCGUUCUCCUUCGCCGGAUCCAGAAGCUGAACUUAUGAAGCGCCAUUUCUCUGGAGAAGAAGCCGAAGGGCAAUUCCCCCUGACCGCGAGCCCAUCCAUUCUCCUCCACGUGCUCUCAUCCUCUGGGCUGGAUCCUAAAGAUCUUGCUGCUUUGGAGGCUACAUGUAAAUUCUUCAGAAAUCCCGCAAAAUUCCCACCAGACUUGCAAUUACCACUUCCGGAACUUGCAGCAUUCGACAUGUGCCAGCAAAGGGCCAUGUUUAAGCCGAUGAAACCAGAAGAGAAGGAGUGGCUGAAGCAAAGGUGCGGGGGCUCUUGGAAGCUUGUUCUUGGAUACAUUUUGGUCGGCGAGAAGAAUUGCCGCCGCGGGAAAUCUCAGGUCACUGCUGGACCAGGCCACAGCAUUGUGGUCACCGCAAGUGGGGCCGUAUACUCAUUUGGCAUGAAUUCCUCGGGCCAGCUAGGCCUUGGGGACACAGAAGACAAGUUCAAGCCAUGCCUUAUCAGGUCUCUGCAAGGCAUCAGGAUCACGCAUGCCGCGGUUGGAUCGAGUCGAACAAUGCUCGUGAGCGACACGGGAAGUGUCUACGUAUUUGGAAUCGACACCUUUGGGGGGUAUAGUUUGAAUGGAGCACUUGCUACUGACUACGUUAACAUGCUUGCAAAGCGGACACAAAUCACAAUUUGGCCAGUACGGUGCCUCCAAGAAGGGUGCGACUUCGGAAGCCGCCACUGUCCGAUCCGGGGAUCAAGUUUUCAGCUGGAGCAUCACGAAAGGGGUGGGAACACCACAACAAAGCCUGUAAAGACGAACAGACAUCCGCGGACGCCGUCGUCGUCGACCGGUCCAGGGACGGGCAAGUGGUGUACCCCGGUGCUCAAACCCCUCUGUCACAUCCACACUCCGCCAACCACCCGCAACCAUGUUGCCCGAGUGGCCGUGGCUGUUCGCCCGCACCCCAGCCGCGUGAUCCGCCAUGAUCAUCAUGCCUCCCACCGCCAGGGUCGCCGCCCUGCAUCCAGACCACCCAUGAGAACAUCAAAGGAUGCGACUUUGACCAAAUCAGCCAACCCAAACACCAAAACUUGGAUGUAUCAUCGGCAUGCUGUACAAAUCAUCACUAGCAUUAUUUGGUUCUUUCAUACAAGAAGUGGAAACAGCCUCUCCAGGUCUCUUGUCAAAUCUGCUUAG
rnacentral:rRNA from 1 species